rnacentral:rRNA from 1 species
CCUACGGGAGGCAGCAGUGAGGAAUAUUGGUCAAUGGUCGGAAGACUGAACCAGCCAUGCCGCGUGCAGGAAGGCGGCCUUAUGGGUUGUAAACUGCUUUUAUAUGGGAAGAAUAAGGGGUACGUGUACUUUGAUGACGGUACCAUAUGAAUAAGCAUCGGCUAACUCCGUGCCAGCAGCCGCGGUAAUACGGAGGAUGCGAGCGUUAUUCGGAAUCAUUGGGUUUAAAGGGUCUGUAGGCGGGCUAUUAAGUCAGGGGUGAAAUAUUUCAGCUUAACUGGGAAAUUGCCUUUGAUACUGGUAGUCUUGAAUAUUUGUGAAGUUCUUGGAAUGUGUAGUGUAGCGGUGAAAUGCUUAGAUAUUACACAGAACACCGAUUGCGGAGGCAGGGGACUAACAGAUGAUUGACGCUGAGAGACGAAAGCGUGGGGAGCGAACAGGAUUAGAUACCCCGGUAGUC